AACUGCUAUGACAUCACUUCCUACCUUCGCCUAAUCAGACCCAGAACACUGGUAUGACUACCGAUAACCUUUUCACCACAAUCUACCAAGAUCACCUCACUCUUCUACCAAUAACUUUUUCACCACAAUCCACCAAGAUCACCUCACUCUACUGCUGUUCUGCAGCAAUCUGUUUGGACCUUAGAACCAGUAGUAGUUUGGCCUUGGAGGCUUCCUGCAUGUCCGGGAGCCCCUGGGGAGGUCUGUGCGGCUCUGUGUAUGAGGAGGUCUGUGUGGGUCUGUGUAUGAGGAGGUCUGUGAGGGCCACUGAGGGUCUGUGUAUGAGGAGAUGUGUGUAUGAGGAGGUCUGGGAGGGCCACUGAGGUCUGUGUAUGAGGAGAUGUGUGUAUGAGGAGGUCUGGGAGGGCCACUGAGGUCUGUGUAUGAGGAGGUCUGGGAGGGCCACUGAGGGUCUGUGUAUACAGUACAAGCGGAAAACAGGAGCGCUGCUGGCAGC
ensembl:lncRNA